rnacentral:rRNA from 1 species
AUUGAACGCUGGCGGCAGGCCUAACACAUGCAAGUCGAGCGGAUGAAGGGAGCUUGCUCCUGGAUUCAGCGUCGGACGGGUGAGUAAUGCCUAGGAAUCUGCCUGGUAGUGGGGAUAACGUCCGGAAACGGGCGCUAAUACCGCAUACGUCCUGAGGGAGAAAGUGGGGGAUCUUCGGACCUCACGCUAUCAGAUGAGCCUAGGUCGGAUUAGCUAGGUGGUGGGGUAAAGGCCUACCAAGGCGACGAUCCGUAACUGGUCUGAGAGGAUGAUCAGUCACACUGGAACUUGACCACGGUCCAGACUCCUACGGGAGGCAGCAGUGGGGAAUAUUGGACAAUGGGCGAAAGCCUGAUACAGCCAUGCCGCGUGUGUGAAGAAGGUCUUCGGAUUGUAAAGCACUUUAAGUUGGGAGGAAGCGCAGUAAGUUAAUACCUUGCUGUUUUGACGUUACCAACAGAAUAAGCACCGGCUAACUUCGUG